AUUCCCGUGGCGAAGAGGCUAUCGCGUUGUCCUUAUGUUCGUCAGAUUAGCGACCAUGAUCUAACUUUUGUCAAGACAAGGGUCGCGGGUUCAAAUCCCGCCGGGAAUA